rnacentral:guide_RNA from 1 species
UAAAUCAACAAUAUGUCAAUGUAGAUGGAUAUGAUAUGAGAAAUUU